ensembl:lncRNA
GAGUUUAUGACUAUUAAAGUAUUUUUCUCUUGAUGUCUGCGUUUGAGUCCUGCCUUCCACCCACCCUGACAGUUUGAUUACAGUUUGGUCUUGUUGGUCCUGUUUGUUUGCAUUCACCCGAUGGGGAUCGGACCAAAGUAUGACCGAUUCAAAGUGUGGUCUUAGUGUUAUAGUCUAGAGUCACAAUUUAAUACUGUCUUUUCGUUCUGAUUUUAGUCUCUACAAAUCUUGAGAAAUAAAUCUGUAUCUUUAGCUGCAAAUCUUCCCUUAUGUUUACCAUUUAGGUCAUACAUCUUUACAAGUGGCGUGGUGCUCGGCCGGUACUAUACAGUGGUUUUAUCAAAGCCUUCUCACACCGAAGAGCUGCAAAGCUUUGUGUGCAAAGGACACAAUGACCAAGUCAGUAAAGUGGUGGAAAGACAACUACAAAAGGUGAAUGUCAUUAUAAAGCUAUUUCUUCAGGUCAAAUACUGUAUCGUAAUUGGAAGCAUCAAUUGACGGGUAAUUUCUUGUUUGUAACACAUUAAAACGCUCGGUGAAAUGCAGUACAUGUAUGUAUCCAGGCCACUACAUAUUGGCAGUUGCUACAAUUGUCUAACCAUGCACUAAUAGCACAAAUUGUAAAGUCAUUGUUUAAAAAGGGCAGAGUCCAUCACACUUAGCGGAGCCAUUCAGCCACAAGAGCAUUAAUGAGUUCCAACAUUGAUGUCAUGUCAUUAGGUCUGGCUUUCAGUCAGAAUUCCAGCUCAUCCAAAAGGUGUUGGAUGGAGAUGAGGCCAGGGCUCUGUGCAGUUCAGUAAAAUCCUUCCGCGUUAAAGUUCUUUAACACCGUGAAGCGUCAUCAUUCAUCCAUUCACACAGAUUCAUACACUGAUGACAGGGGCUACCAUAUAGUCCCAACCGUUCAUCAGUAACAUUCACACGUCGUAGUUAUAGCUAUGGGAGCUAUUUGUGUUGCCCAAAAGACAGACUGAAGUCGGAGCCGAAACCGCUGUAUGUAUUAAAGGACAACUCUGCUCUCCACUGAGCCACAGUCCCCAAGCUGGGGGUAAUCUUUCUUACGAUAGCAGGUUUUAGCUCAGAGGAGCUUUUUCUACAUCAAAUCCUCAAUGCCUUUUUAGACAUUUGCAUCAAGUUGUAUGAUUCUAGUUUGGUGACCAAUCUCACCAAUAUUCACUGAAGUAUUUAUAUUUCCCUUCACUGAAACAAAGGUCUUCAGACCAAACUCAAUGAAUAAAAACAGACCUUAAUAAAAGCUCAACAUACAAAUAGGUUGGUCACAUAUUGUUGGUGCAGGGGCAUUAACACUUAUUCAGAGCAAUGGAGCACAUUCAAUCCCUUUAUCUGCUUUCAACUUUGCACAAAGGACAGAUAGUGCUAGAUAGAGACACUGUGAAAAGAAAGAGACAGUUUUCCAUCAAAAAGUUGGCACAAUCCGAACAUUGAGGAGCUAUAGGUCAUCAGGGUACCAGGCUUGACAGAUGAGUGUAAAAGCGGGUUUGCGUGAUCGAAUGAAGUGAUUUAACUAAAAACUGCUUAAACUGGCUGCAACUCCCAACACAAUCUCAGUGAGCGGUCUCAAGUAGACAGUUUCUUUGUUUCAGAUCUAUAAUAAAUCUAAGCUGCUGUAUUGGGUGAGUGGGCCGACAGCUCAGCGACGGGAGGUUGUUUUCCAUGUAGACUUACCUGUCUGCUCAUAUUAAUGCUGCACCAUGUGAGUUUGGUUUGCAGAGUCUGGCUCACGUGGUCAAGCUGUGUAAACUCUUUCUUCCUCCUCUUCGUGGACAAUCGUCUCGUACCUACCAUCAAUUAUUCAAGGAUAUAUAACAAACUAUUUUCAAAGUGUCAUUAUUUGGUAAACAAUUUAAUGUUUUUGACAAUCCUCCGUGUCCUCCUGUAUGGAGGAGCUGUUGGCUGAGACUGUUACAUAAAUAUACUAUGUAGCAACGUGUACUCAUUACAUUACAGGUCAUUUAGCUGACGCUUUUAUCCAAAGCAACUUACAUUGCAUUUUUAACCCAUGGCUUUUUACAUUUUUGCCCAGGACUGCUCUUGGACAGGAGAUUGCCUCGCUGGUUCCCUCGGUCUGCAGUCCUUGUGCCAAACUCAGCAUGCCGUCUCAGUAUCCAACAGACAUGAGAUUAAUCAUUUUCUUAUCUAACUCUCAGCUAGAAAUUGAAUAAGGAUAUUACAUAACCCAGUUUUACAGAAUACCAACCUUGCAUGUAUGUUUGUUGGUGUGUGUUAAAUUCUGGUAAGCAAUGGAGAGUAAACGUUCACCUGUUGAAACUGAAUGAUGAAAGGUGUAAUGACCAGAGACGAGGUGAAGGUUUUCUCAGCAACAGAAUGGUGGUUGCCAGCUCAAUAUUUCAUACCAGUGCAGACAUUGAAGACUUUAGGUGGCCGAGUUCACAACUGCGAGCAUGUAGUUUUAACAAUAGGAAGAUUACACUGUGUCUUUAAAGUGACUCAGUGGUUGAUUUGAAGCUAACCAGGGUAUUUCGGGAGCAGGACCACGCCUCCAACACGCCCCCUCCGGUAUUGCCAUAAAUACAGCUCAACCCACUCUUCUUGUUCUUCGAGUACGCAUUCCAAAACACGGCCGAGGUCAGGUAACACACGAUCGCACGUUACUUACGAACACCUUACCUACGUUACGUCAUCUAACCUCCUGCACCGAGAUGCUAUCGCACCUUCCCAUUCAGACAGCAACAACAUUUUCUCCAGGAAAGAACAGCAUAAACCACUCCGAAGUUUUCCACACCUCACGUAAUGGGAGACUUUUGCGGGUUCGCCUUGCAACCAGGCGCACGGCGGAUCCUCUAACAUAAUUACUCACAACCCAAACCAACCGACCAGAUGAAAUCAAUCAAUCAAUCAAUUACACGUCGACUAAUGAAGAACACCUUCAGUGGAUGGCGUGGUCCUUGCUAGUGAAAAGAGCAACUAUUACCAGAACAAAUGGAUUUAUCCUUGUCUGUAUAGAGUCUCUGCGUGUGACAGGUAGAUGUAAGACCUUCCUUUCCCGCUCCUCACCAUUUCCCCAUCUGUGUCUCUCAUUUACCAAUAAGGAAUCACAGUGUUUUCUUUACUCUUCACCGUUUGGUAUUUCCUCUAUCAUUUAGCAAUGGGCUGACGGUGCUCCUCCGCUCCCACUUGCUUUGGCACUAUCCCUUCUAUAUAUGUGUGUAAUCAAAGCAUAUAAUCAUAUGCUACACACCCACAUACUGUCUGAGGCUUUAAGAUUAUAUGUCUCGUGGAGUAAGAACAAAAUCAUCAUAUUAAUGGUGGAGUUUUGCAAUAAUACACAUAAUCCACUGUUUUUAUUUUUUAUUGGAUUGACCUUUGUAGAAGUGGUUUGAAUGGGAUUUUACAGAUGCCUAAUAAAGGCAUGUUUUACUAGCUUUUACUUUAUUUUGAUGGCUCUGUCGCACUCUGAGAUCUGUUAAUGAAGAGUGAGUUAUAAAUAAAAUGCAUUAUUAUUAAUAGCAAACAAGCAGAGAACAAUGUAGAGACUACUUUUUCAUGCAAUCACAGCCCACCAUAGGGAUGAACAAAAUAAAUCAUUAGCAGUAGGGGACAACCUCAGUUUAAACAGGUGAUACAUUAUACAAACAUUACAUUAUCAACAUUUAACUACACUUUAGUUUCUAAUUACGAUGAAAAACUAUCCCGACAAGACUUUUAAAUUGAAAUCUGUUAAAUUAAGUUUAUUUGACAGUGAAGCACUGUAAAUGUCACCACAGAGAAUGGUUUUGGCAUUCAUAUCAUAUAAUGAAUACAUUUUAUCACUUAAUUGUCCUAGUAAUUGUACAUACAACAGGAAUGCACCGUAAUCUGUAAAUCAUUCAAUAUUCUGAUUUUGACAUGAAUUACCUUUGAUUACACACCAUUGUGGUGCCAAUGGAGAUAAAACAUAUACACUUAACAGCCAGCACUGUAUUUAUAGUCAUGCUUUGUAAUGAAAACAGUUUCUCACUGUUAAUUGUAAAGAACCUCUUACUUAAAACAGCAAUACACCAGAAUAUGAUAUGAAGGGUAAGUGGCCUUGAAGUUGACUGACUGACAGCGGCCAGUCUGUGACGAACUUUUUAACCAAUUUCAGCGUCAGCUGACAACAUUGUGCAUCUGUUCAGUGGCAAACCGUUGGAGUCAGCUGUCAGUGUGCUGGUGAUGCUUGGCAUUUAAAUGCACUGCAGCGUUAUGUGAUCGCCAGUGUUUGGAUACUGAACAGCACUUAUUUGCUUAUUUGAAGGAGCAUCUUGUGGAAGGACGCAUGGGGACUUGUCCUGUGGGUGGAUGCAAAAAUGUUUUUAUGGUCAAAUCUUCAUUUACGACCCAUAUGUCACAGAAACAGUGAUUUUGCAGACAGUGCAAUUAGGGACAUAAAAUAAUUUGAUCUAAUACAGCAACCUUUCAGACAUGGCAUUCAAACUCGGGAAUAACUUUUUGGGUACCCAGGGAAUUGGUACGAUUUGAGUCCGUUUAAAUGCCAAAAGCAGUUUCCUUUACUUUUAAAGAUAAUUCUGAUGUCACUCCCUUCAUCCCCUUACUGUCUCGUUCAGGUAUGAUAAUAACUAUCAACAGUUAUACUUCAUGUGGACCUCAUCACCCUUUUUGUUGUCCUACUAGUAUAACCUUAUGAUCUGAUGCAAGUUGUCAAGAUUAAAUGGUGGUAAGUUGUUGUAAAGUUAAGGCUUUAUUCUAUUUCUGGAAGCACUUUAAAUAUUGUUGAUGUUGAGCACUGCAUGAACCUAGACUUUCCAUAAUUUAAUAUAGGUUCUACUUGCAAGUAAAACCUGUUUUGACUUUAUAGACAAGUUUCCCGGGCACUUCCGGUUUAUUUCCUGUUUCUGCCAAGAACUUCCGGCACAGGCUGAGUAGUGGUGUAAAAAUGGCUUUGGAAUGGCAACAUUCGACCGAAAAUCUUGUUAAAAGUUUUGACCAUUCCGCAUCCAAGUAAGGUAACAUCAUGGCCGGACAACAUGUCGAUAUGGCCCAGCAUCACAACAUCCAAGAUCUUUUCUUAUUUUAUUGAUUCCAUGGCGGUGGAUGGGAAUGCAAUUAAUAACCUAAGAAAGCUCAGAGGCGUUUCAGUACCUCCAUUCCGACAAAGUGGGCUGUGUACUUUUACACGAUAUGGGCAUAGAACGGCCGAUGUUCAACCAAGCCAGUCCGUUAACAAUUCAGCGCGUAACGCCUGGGUUUUGGUUACCAAGACGGGAGAUGUGGAGCUUUGCGCUUUGGAAGGUACGUUAGCCCAUCUUAUGCUUGUAUUAAGAUGUUUGUAUGUAUCCGUGUGUUAAUAUAUAACAGAACACGAAGAGUAAUAAAAAGAAAGUAAUCCCCUCUAGCCUGCCUGCACUAAAAGCAUUUAACCCUUCAAAGUCGACUGACGAGCGUCAAAGUGCGCACCCCUGACAUAUCUAUUAAUAGCUUCGGAAUGGAUAAAAGGUAUUAACUUACUUUUUUUUCUAUGAAAAAGCUGACAUUCGUCUGCGUAGUAAUUAGUAGUCUGUGUUGACUUUGAAUGAUAAGCCUUCCGUCUUUGAGUGCAAAUCUAUAGCAUUUUACUCACUUGUAGAUGGUUGAUGGUCGAAACAUUCUCCUUCCGACCAAACAUUCAGCAAUCGGCACGAGUUGUUGCAACCGUGAACAGCACAAUAUGUCCCGGAGCCGUGUCGGCGUGUAACACCAUCCAUAGUUUACUUUUUCUGCACGCUAACCAAAGACCGUAAAAGACGCUAACUCGCUAACCGGAAGUGCUUUGCAGACACAACCGGAAGUCGUUGGCAGAGUGAAAGGCCAAUGGCGGCCCGCUUAUUUCACUCAGGAAACUUGUCUAUACACACUCAGAUUUUGACAUACCCUACUUUAUUAUGGCUAUUUCUUUUCCUAACUCAUUAUGGUGGCGGGAGUGGUUUUGGCUCUGCUGCAGAGGGGAAAGAAAGGGGGAGUGGCUCAGGGAACUGUGCCAGGUGGAGGCAAUUGGCCUCAGCUGCAAGAAAUCAUCAUUGUGAUUAUCUCCAUGUUUUAAAAAAGACAAAGGAAGAGCGAUUGGCGAGAGGAGAGUCGGCAGACGGGAGAGCUGGAUGCAGAGAGUGUGCAAUUACAGAUGUGUCGAUGUUUUGAUCAUUUGAGGGUUUAGGGGAGGAUGAUGACUGACAACGACCACCGGCAGGGGAUACUGGCCCAACCGAUCAUGGCGCUAGGCCAGAUGAUCGGCGAGCUGGCGGCUAUCCAGUGCAACUACGCAAUCCGAUAUCCGGAGGCAGGGCCAUUGCGCAAUAUCUCGGCAAAGAGUGUCGCGCAGGCUCUGUUUCAGGUCAUCUCCCGGGUCGGAAUCCCAAAAGAGAUUAUGACCGACCAGGGCACCUCGUUCAUUUUUGCGGACGCUGAGAGAACUUUACGGGUUUCUGGGCGUUCGGUCCAUUGGGACUAGUGUGUACCACCUACAGACCGAUGGGCUACUGGUACGCAUGAAUCAGACGCUGAAGUCCAUGAUCGGUUAUCAGCGAAGAUCAACGUAAUUGGAAUAACUGUCUUGAUCCUCUGUUGUUUGCAGUACAGGAGGUUCCCCAGGCCUCCAUGGGAUUUUCUCCCUUUGAACUUUUGUUUGGACACCGAGGGGGGGGUGAUGGACCUAAUUAAAGAAAACUGGGAGGAAGGUCCGAGCCCCGGCAAGAUCGAGAUCCAGUACGUCCUGGACCUGCGAGCAGAGGAGCCAGGCUGCGGCAAUUCACACCGGGAGAAAAGGUACUUUUAUUACUUCCAACUCUAAACUAAGCUAAGUGGCAAGGGCCCUUUGAGUUGUCACACGGAAGGUGGGGGAUGUUGCAAAUAUACCACCUAAACCUCCUGAAAGCCUCGAGGGAGGUGGAGUCUGUUUCUCUGGUGUCCGCGGUAUCAGAAAAAAAGAGCUAGGGCCGGAGGUGGCAAAAGCGGUUAAUCCCACCCCACCCCGCUCUCGUGCGAGGCCCGUCUCUCCGAGGACCAGAGAACGGUUUAUCGUGGACUAUGGCAGGGUGAACGAGGUGUUACAAUUUGAUGCCUACCCAAUGCCCCGGGUCGACUAACUCCUGGACUGGCUGGGCACUGCAUGUUUCUUUACGACCCUGGAUUUGACUAAGAGCUACUGGCAGAUUCCUCUGUCGUCAGAGUCCAAGGAAAAAACUGCUUACUCCACUCCGUAUGGGUUAUACCAAUUUACCACACUUCCCUUUGGCUCGUUCGGUGCCCCGGCCACGUUUCAACGGUUCAUGGACUGGGUACUGCGUCCACACGCCGCCUAUGCUGCCGCCUACUUGGAUGAUGUUGUUAUUAUCCACAGCACCACCUGGGCGGAGCACGUGUGGCGGGUAGGUGGGGGAAGUGUGCAGUUGAAGGGAGGUACGGUAUUUGCGGUACCACUUGGGGGGCGGGCAGGCGUGCACUCAGGUGGACAAGACGCCAGCUAUCGCGGCCUGCCCACGACCCAAGACUAAAAAAGAGGUUAGGUGGUUUUGGGGCAGGCGGGGUAUUACAGGCGCUUCAUCCCCGGCUUUGCGGACUUCACCAGCCCCUUGACUGAUCUGACCCGGAAAGGUCAGUCAGAUCCAGUGGUCGGAGCCAGCAGGCGUUUGAGAAGGUAAAGCAGACUCUCUGUGGGGAACCACUCCUCUACACCCCUAACUUUUCUUUUCCCUUUACUUUGCAGACAGACUCAUCGGACAAGGGGCUGGGUGCCGUUUUGUCCCAGGAGGUGGGGGGGGAGAGUUGACUGCCCCGUGUUAUAAAUCAGCCGGAGGCUGUCCGAGUGGGAGGCCAGGUACAGCACGGUGGAGUAGGAGUGCCUGGCCAUCCAGUGGGCGUUGGACUCCCUGCGCUACUACCUCCUGGGACGUCAUUCACCCUCUGUUCGGACCACGACCCGCUCCCCGCAUGAAGGAUACCAUACUAAUCUCCGCUCCCUCUUUUUUAAAUUGGUUCUGUUCAACCCUCUUUAAUGUUUUGUGUCUGUCUUUUUUGUUUUAUUUUUGUGUGAACUUUGUGGGAAUCGUAUUGCAUCUGUAAGUGUCGGUAUUGUUAAUAUUUCUUCUUUUAUCUGGCCGUAGAGUCGAUCAUGCCCGUUCCUGUGAACACCAAAUUGACUUGAGAAUCCUCAAGCUGAAAUAACAUCACCUGCCCAAAGUUCCAGUUUCCUGAAUACAAAGCCCUCUGUUUGGGAAUUUAUCCCACCUGACGAGUCUCGACGCAGUGACUCAAACAUCUUUGUCAAGGUUAAUUACAGGUAAGAUGUGGUGUAGUUCAGUGUAGCAAAUAAAAUAAUACAAAUAAUACUUGUGUGUUCAUAUAUAGGGGAAGCACGUCUUCAAAUGCAAUAAAACGCAUGAACAAAACUUACUGUAAUUUUCUUUUGGUGGUAUUUAAUAAAGUUUUAUAGAAUUAAUGAAAUUAGUGCAAUGCAAAUAUCCUGGUUGUAUAACAUGAUUCUCUUUUUGAUUGAGGAAUCUGUAUUCAGGUUGCUUGUCGACACAAAUUAAACACAUGCUGAUUAUUAGUGCUGAAAUGUGUAAAAAAUGAUUUACCAUUCGACCUGAUAGUCAUCUAGAUGUCAUAGAAAAUAUUUUCUAACCAAAUUAUUGUCCAGUGUGCUGGUUUCUUCCCAGUCAUUGGAGCUCAGUUUAACACCAGACGGCAGUGAAUGUUUCUCAGAUUGAUGCAGCAGUUCAGCAUAAUUUUUCUAACUAUCUUCUUUCUUUUUUUGGGACUGCAGAGGAUCAUUGCAGUCCAAAUUGAACACUGACUGGUCAACAUGAGUCGUCAAGUGCAUGUGUGUGACUCCCCACCGGGUUGUGUGACCUCCUCAGUCAAGUCUGGACUCAGUGAUUCAUUACUCUUGAUCAUGUUUACUCAUUUAUGGACACAUGCUGUUUUUUGUGUUUAGCUAUAGCUAAAGUUAAAAUCCAUUCCAAAACAAUUGUAUACUGUAUUUUUUGUAAUUGAAUUAUUUUUUCUUUUUAAUGUUUGCACUUGUCUCAAUUUUUUCUUUGGCCUAGAUGUCAAGCAAACGUUGGACCUGUCCCACACGUACUUUUUUCCUUUCAACCUUAGGCUAAUCUUAAAAGGAAGAGGUAGUGUGCAUUAGAAAGAGGGGUAGAGAACUGGCACAACUUCCAGUCUUUGUUUGUGCCACGCUCUUACAUUAUUAUUUUAUUGUGUAAUUUAACAACUGAAAAGUUGAUUCUUAUGCCCACAGUAAUUUCCUGCCUCCCUCCCUCAUUUACAGAGACUCACUCUUGUGGCCAAUUAGUCAAUGUCUGUUGAAAUGUCUUCAUUUUUCAUUUGAGUGUUCAUUGAUCAGUAUAAUUGUAAUUAAUAAGCCAAUUUCACUUGGCAGAGAUGGGAGUUUUUGGCACUUGUUUUGAAUACCCUCAGUUAGUUACGGGGGAGGAAACGAGGGUCUCAUUAACUAGGUCGAAAUACAUGACUUUAUUAAUCUUCUACUGCCUGGGAUGUUAAAGAUUUGGUAUCAUCAGGCAGUUUAUGCUGUAUGGUAUUCACCACUGCACAUCUAGAGCUGACCUGAAAACACUGCUAUUGAUGGAUUCUGCUUGUGUGAACACCUGAUAAAGAAAAUGAAAGAGCUAAAGGAGGGUAAGCACUGGACAUAUGUUUGUUAGGGCAUUGUUACGGCCUUUUGGAAUGUUUAGGGAUAUGGCUGCAAGGCGAGCAAAAUAGCUGAAAGUGUAUCUACUUUGCCUGUGAACAUAGCAACCAGGAAAAGGAAGUUUAAUUAGGGAAAGGUUUUCAGUCUUCUAUACAACUCAACAUCACGGUUGUAAUUUUUGUCUUUUAAAGGGCUUUCCAGUCUUUAAACAUGCAACAUCCUCUGUCCCGAAACCCUUACAACAGCACAGGAAAAACUUGAUGAAAAAACCCUUUAACCGGGAGAAAAGAGGAAGAAAGGGCAUAGGAGGGAUCCCUCUAUCAAAAUGAACAACACGUAAAAGAUGUACAGUAUGUACGAAAUAUGACAGAAAUAAUUUAGAGUAGUGGGCGUCGUCACGACUUAAAAUGACUACUGAUAAUAAAAGCUGUAUUGGAUGAAGAAGGCUAACAAUAAUAACAAAUGAUUAUGGUGUCAGCAAUAGUGAUAUGACUACUGUAAAGGGCUGAGGGGCAGAAUAGGAAAAGGGGUGUAUGUACCUACACCAUCGGAAUCAAGCCAUCGCAAUCAGGUGUGCCAGGAGACAUACCUGGACCUCAUCAAGGGGGGUACAAAAGAAGGCGGAAGGAGCAGUGAAGGGAGACAAGUUGAGGGAGGACCCCGUAAGCGGCCCGGCGUUUGUUUCCUUAUUUUUAUUUGAUUAAACUGCUCAAACGACACUCUCUGCCUCUUGACUUUUGCACAGCCAGUUAUUUGAAAUCCUCUGUGCCAUCUUGUUACACUACUAAUAAUAAUGACCAUAGAUAUCAGGCAGGACCAUUGCAAGAACAACCACCGGCCAGAUAACCACCAUCCACAGAAAAACCUGUGCGCAGGGAGGCACAAAAACUUCAGGAAUGAAGCAAAGUUGGUAAUCUGGGUUUAGGUCAAAAGUAAUGUAGUGACAGUAGCAACAGGUUUGUUGUUGUUCAAACUCUGCGUUUGAGUCCCGCCUCCACCUUCCCGUUUGUGACAGAAUGACGCGACCACUUAAGGACUCAGCAGACCCGUUGCCAGAUUACGGACCUGAUUACCUGGACGUGAGGAGUCCAAGUUUUGGCAGUGUGGUGGAAGAUUUUGCACAAUUUGGACAAUCGUUAAGUAAGAAACAAAGGCUCUGAGUCAAGUAUGUCUUUUCUCCGUUUAUUUCCUUGCAAGGGAAAAAGGGUCACAACAGCUACGUGGUCAGUAGACUGUCAAGAACCUCCUUCUCCCCCCAACACAUAGAGGCAGUUCUUAUACCUAAGUUUAGAUAUCGGUGGCGUCAACAGAAACCUUUGACCAUCUAGUUGAGUCUCUACAGCCAGGGUACUGGGAACAUCUUUUCAAUGUAAGACAUGUCAGUUCUUUGACCGUGUCCUUGCUCUCCCAACAUGCGAGCACAAAUGCACAAAUGUGGUCAUAGACAUAACAAACACUUUGUUCAAUCUCUACAGCUAUGACGCUGGAAACUUCUAAUCCAAGUGGGAGACAUCAGUUCUUAUGUCAGGGCCUUUGUGAUCUAAGCACUUGCAACUAAUAAACUGGUUAUACAAAUGAAGCAUUUAAAAGGGUUACAUAUCAUUUUCCCAUUACAUUCCACUCUUUUGAUUACAUAAUAAUCACACACUAUGCAUCAAUUUAGAAUGCCUACUCUAAAAAUUUACCAUCUGAUAUUUACCACAUCAAAUAUCACAAAACAUGAACAUCUGGACAUCGCUCACAAAACUUUGCCUGCCACAGAACAAAAACUCGCUAAAAAACCCUCCGAAAUGGGAAAAUAGGAAGAAAUCUGUUAAGAGAAGAUAAAGACUGGAAACCUUCUCACAGGAUUUGAGCGUUACACCCCAGAUGUCAUGUGUACAGUAUUGAAAUGAAAGGAAAUGAAAACCUGUUUAAAUCACAAUACCGGAACUUGAUUCCCUUUCACACAAUACAGUUAAAUAAUAUUGUGGAAAAGUAAUUAUAUCAAUCAUAUUUACGUUACAUACUAAUAAAUGCAGGGAUAAAAGCUGUUUUUGUGAGAAUGUUAUUUCUCAUUGUUUUAGCAAGCUACUGUGAAACAAAAAACAUUUAGAACCUCAGGAAUGCACAGUGUGUCACUAUUACACAGACAAACUUUUUUUUUGGCCCCAGGAGCGAUCAAAGAGCUUGCCUUGAGCUAAGAGACCUCUUCAACCCCAGGAGAAAGAGCCCAGGCAAGAGGAAGCAGCAUACCCCAGUUCCCGCUGGGCGGCAGCGACCUCUGACCCCAGUACGCAUGUCUCCGCCUCCAGUCCCGGCUCGCUCCCCCGACGCUUCCAGUCCCGGCUCGCUCCCCCGACGCUUCCAGUCCCCGCUCCCCGACUCGCACCCCGGACGCUUCCAGUCCCCGCUCCCCGACCCACACCCUCGACGCUUCCAUGAACCUCCCUCUCAGGCAACUUGCUCCUUCCCCCCAUGUGCUGGUCUGAUUGUUUCCACCUGUGCCCCUACACUGUCUGAGUCUCCCUUUGUCCUCUGCCAGUUCGUCUCGUCUCACGUCAAGGAACCAGUGCAUGUCCGCAUCCAUAGCUUUACCAUGUUUUUGUUCUUAGGUUUAGUGUUUUCCUCGACCACGAGUAAUUUUUAUUUCAGUGGCACUUGCCCUUUUGUUAAUAAACUUCGAUUUAUUUUGGAACUUUGUCUAAAGAGCCAUGCACUUGGGUUCAGGGCCAUUGUCCGUUCGUGAUAGAUUCUGCAUACAGGCAGAAACUAAAGCUCUACAAACCUGUGAUGAGGGAAUUCAAGAAGUGGACCAGUGAGGUGCUGCAGGAUCUUUGGGCGUGCUUUGACUGCACAAUCUGGGAUGUUUUCAGGACUGCUACCAACAGUCUGGAUGAGUUCAAAGAGGCUGUAACUUCUUACAUUGCCCUCUGUGAGGACAGCUGUGUACCACCAUGCACUAGGGUGAGUUAUAACAACAAAAAACCCUGGUGUCUUUACCGCGGAACUCAGUAAGCUGCAAAAGGAUCAGGCAUUUAGGUGUGGGGAGUGUUCAGUCAAAAUACAGUUUUAGCAAGGCGGUUAGAGAUGCUAAACGACUGUACUCUGCGCCGUUCCCUCACCGUGCUGCCCGUCCAUGUCCCCGAUCGUCCCUGGUCAGGCGCCACUGUAGCGGGGACGGAGGUACCACAGUCUACUUGGCAAUAUACAAUUUUUCCUUUUGCAGUGAGCAGGUUUUGGGCUCCUCGGCCUUGCACCUCAGCAUCUGCUCCAGUCUCUCGCUCGCCAAGUCCUGCUCACUGCUUUUACAGGGGAGACAAUCAACUACCCACCCGCACCGUUCCUGAACCACUCCCCCGCUGCAGCUGAGCUAACCACGCCUGCCACCACACUGAUUCAAUAAAAAAAAUGUAUCAAAUAUACAAUCAGCGUCCUUAAACACCUAUGUUUUGCCCCUAGUCAAGGCGGGUAUCGACAGGCAGAUGAUAUUCUGGAGGUAGUAAAGAGCAUGGAUUUUAUUGCUAUUCAAGCGGACAAGACAAAUUACAUUUAUACAGUACAUAUCAUAUCAUACUGAUAAUAUGGGCGACUGUGGGUGAGUGGGGAGCACGGUCGUCCUCCAAUCAGAGGGUUGUCGGUUCGAUCCCAGGCCCGGCUAACCUGCAUGUCGUUGUGUCCAUGGGCAAGACACUUAACCCAACAUGGCUCCUGUAGCUGCGACUACAGUGUGUGAAUGUUAGUUACUGAUGGGCAGGUGUCACUGUGUAUGGUUCUCCUGUCAUCAGUGUAUGAAUGGGUGUGAAUGGGUGAAUGAUGUCAUGUAGUGUUAAAGCGCUUUGAGUGGUCAGAAGACUAGAAAAGCGCUGUACAAGUACAGUCCAUUUACCAUUACCAUUUACCAUAAUUAUUUAAUAUAUAUUGUAUAUAACACUGGGUUAGGCUUAGGCCUGUGAGGGUGACAAAAAUAAGAUUGUCAAAGUGAUAUAAACUGGGUUUUUUAUAUUAAUAUAAAUUAUUUAACUGCAACUUUGCUAUCUUAAUUGUUUUGUAUUAAAUCCACCUGGGAUGUUUGUGCGAAAUUGAUUUCAUAACCCUACCUAGAACAUUUUCCACUAGCCGCCACUGAACAGCUAUAAGUCGCAAAUUUAUACAGCUUGAGUUGAGAGACUAAAUCGGUUACCUUUUGUAUCUUAAAACAACUAAAAUAUGAAUUAUCAUGUUAUAAGAUAUAACAUUAGGUCCAAUGGAGUUUGCACUGUGAUCUCAUCUAACUCUCUGGGUACCUACCCUUCUCCGUUCAGGCCUGUCAAAUUUCUGACCAAAUGGCAACGCUCAUACUGAGCACUUUGAUGGCAUGACCGCAAUACCACUUGUCAUAAAUAUAAAUGACAGCAUUAAUAAAUGAUAACAUCUCAUUCAAUUCCCUCAUUGUGCAUGCAAAUAGGUUUAACGGGAUAACACGGGCAAAGUGUGGUCUGAUGUGAAAAGUGUAAUUGUAACAAGGGUACUGACCUCAGAUCAUUAAUAUUAAUUCAGUACAUUGUCUCGGUGCGAUUCCCCAAUGCAGCCGAUGACCCCAGAUAUGAAUGGGUUUGAUUUUCAUUCAUGUGCAAAUUUUUGGAGCUGAUUGUGUGCUGCUGCAAGCAUUGACUUUAGGGCAGUCAUUCACUGAAUUCGAUAUCAAGCAUUCCUUAUUGACAUUUAGUUUUCUAUAUUCUUCUUUAUUAUCUUUAUUAAUAAGACUUUCAAAUUAGUAUUUGCAAAAAGGUCUCUUAAUACUAAUUACACUAAUCUAUCAGUAAUAUGGGAAUUUAUCAGAUCUGUAAUGAUGAAAAGGUAUAUCUAUAAUAGUAACCUGUAGCAGGCCCAGUUUGUCACAGUUGAAGAAGGCACAGAUUUCCUGACUGUCAGUUGUAUCUCCCCCAGUGCAGAGAUGUGUAAAAUAUAUAUUUUUUUGCAAUUCUCAAGUUCCUUAUGUUUCCUCAUCUGCUGGAUAACAUCCAGUCAGUUGGAGCACUUUGUAGCUGAAAUUCAAAAAAUAACAACUGUAUCAUCACUUGGUGUUAGCAUACAACAGCGGAUAUAGGUACCCAGGUAGCCAGCGGACUCUGCCGUAUUGUGGCUGAGUGUCGGGUAGCUCGGCUCGAUGUGGCGAGAUUUAUGCCAUAUCUGGCCCAGAUGUAGCUGUUACAGACAUUGCCCUAUUCAGGCCAAGACAUGGCAGUUGGGUUUAUUGGCAACCAGCACUAAAACUAGUUCUGGCCCAUUAAUGGCUGCCAGUGUUAUGGGUCAGCUGCUGUUUUCUCCCCAUGCUGUGUGUUUGUAGCUUCCUUUUCUGUCUGUGCUAAUUGUCCCCACCUACCAGAGGCGUGGCCAGUCAUCCUGAACCGUCCCCAGAUAGCUGAUCCCCAUUCCACAAUUCACCCCUCCAGUAUUUAAACCCGGCUGUCCGCUUCUUCAGCGCCAGAUCGUUACACACCCCCACGUGGUAACUCGACUUCGUAUCGUGGCUCGCAAGACUUUGAGUGUCCUACUGUCUCUUUGUCUAAUCCUGAUUCCUCUGUCCAGAUCCCGCUGUCCCCGAUCUGACCUGCCGUGCCACCCGCCUCGCAUCCCUCCGGAGUCCACCCCCGGCUGUCCCCUUCCCUUGAAAUCUGCAUUCAUUAAAGUCACUUCUACGGAUGAUCAGUCCAAUCUCUGUGUGCCGGUUCGAAUAUCCAGCCUUAACAGAACAAUCUGGCCAUGGACCCUACGGAGAUUCCCCAGGCUGUUCAGGUGGAUGGCACCCAACGGGCUAUCAAUUCUCAGGGAAUUUUACUUGGCCAACACGACCAGUUAAUCUGGACCCUUCUGGAGAACAAUCAGCAGCUAAUUAUCCAGGUCACCAAAUUAACUACACAAGUGGCUAACCUGUCUGUUCCCAAUCCCCCUCGCUCUCUGCUCCCUCUGUCUCACCACCUGUUUUCCCAGACAUGGCAACCAUUCCCUCCCACCGCGAACCUCCCGUCAACUCACCUGAGCCCUUCGCUGGGGAAUUGGAUAUUGGAUAAAUUGGAUGCAGUGGAUUUCUCCUUCAAUGCGGGCUGAUCAUCCAACAACGGCCGCAGUCUUUUGCCACUGAGUCGUCUAAGGUACACUAUGCCCUGGGGUUAAUCCGAGGCAGAGCAUUGGCUUGGGCUGAAGCGGUAUGUACCAAUCAAUUGUGGUCAGGAUAAAAUUUAGAUAAUUUCUCCUCCAAACUGAAGUGUAUUUUUGAUCACCCGGACUAUCCUCGGAGCACUUCAAAGCGACUGAUGAACCUAAAGCAGGGUGCAAACAGCGUGGCAGACUAUUCGGUUGGAUUUUGGACACUGGCGGCGGACUCUAAAUGGAAUGAGGAUGUGCUACAGGGAGCAUUCCUCAAUGGGUUAAAUGAAGUUGUUAAAGAUGAACUAGCGGUCCGGGAUGAACCUAAUGAUUUAAAUGGUCUCGUGUCCCUUGCUAUCAAGAUAGAUAACAGGUUUUGGGAGAGGAGCAGUCGGCCAAGCUCCACGGGUCAGGUUCCUAUCCCAUCAACCUUCCGAACCACUUCCCCUCUGCUGCGGUGCCCCACCCCUCCUGUACCAGCCCGGAGGGUCGAGAACGAAGCUAUGCAGCUGGGCUGUGCUGGGCUCUCCCCUGCGGAGUGACAACGCCCUAUCCAGGCAGAUGAGUGCCUGUACUGCGGUGACUGCUCUCACUAUGUUGCAAGAUGCCCCUCCCAGCCAAAAGACAAGGCUUGCUGGUAAAUGUGGGCCUACUAGCGAGCCCAACGUCUGACACAGAACUCACGGCACCCCGAUUACUAAUCCCAGCCACGCUGCAACGCUGCCCCUCUCCUUAUUGACGCCGGUGCUGAGGAUAAUUUUCUCGAUCUCGACCUAGUCACUCAAGCCGGUUUCCCCAUUGAGUCGAUUUCUUACCUCCUCCGUCUUACUGCCAUAAAUGGUCAUCCCCUAGCGAAGAUUACUCACCAAACCAUCCCUUUUACGUUGAUUCUGUCUGGGAACCAUCGGGAAAAAAUCUGUUUUAAAGUCAUCUCCGCCUCAACCACCUCUAAUCCUCGGUUUUCUUUGGUUGAGUUUACAUAACCCCCAAAUUGAUUGUCAGCAUCAAGCUAUCCAUAGAUGGAGCAACCAUUCUGAGUGCCUGGGAUCUGCUUUUCCUCCAGUGAAACUUCAUCUGAUUUAUCCCGUUCCCGAGAAUUAUCAUGACCUUUCGGAGGUCUUCAGCCAGGAUAAAGCUUGUCACUACCUCCCUCCCUCCUGCUGCAGGGCCUUGCCUUCGAGUCGGCUGUAUAACCUGUCCCGGCCAGAGACGGAGGCGAGGUGAAAUACAUUGGUGACUCUCUGGCGGCUGGUAUCAUUCGCCCUUCGCCGUCCCCGGUUGGGGCCGGUUUCUUUUUUGUCAAAUAAAGAAGACGUUACGGCCGUGCAUCGACUUUCAUGGACUCAAUAACAUAACGGUGAAAAAUAAGUAUCCCCUGCCCCUCAUUAACUCUGCUUUUGAACCCCUUCAGGGCGCCACGUUUUUUUCUAAACUACCUCCGGAACGCUUAUCAUCUCGUUUGAAUUCGCCACGGAGCAGCCUGAUCUCCAAAUCCUGUUCGUAAAAAUGUAUACGAAAAUCUUGAACAUACAAAUUCGUAGUGAUACAUACUAAAUAAAUACGGACUGCAACUGAUGACGUCACCCUAUUCAAAGUGAAUGGGGACCUGCACCCCGUAAACACACUUCGUGUAGUCUAACGAUGUAAAAUAAACGUGUUAUGAUUGCAUUUUUUACGAGAAAUCAAUGUUAAAUUGUAAGAAUACAAUACUAACCCUAACCCCCUCAAAAAAUCCAACAUGGCGGAGAGACGUUCACUCAAGAAUCCAACAUGGUCCGCCAUGUUGUUCACUCAAGGGGCGUGGUUAACCACCGCCAGUUUGUAUGUAUUGUUAUGAAUUUGUAUGUUUAAGAUUUCCAUAUACAUUUUUACGAACAGGUUUUAGAGAUCACGUUGCACGGAGACUAAUGGAAGACUGCUUUCAACAUCCCUUUAGGCCAUUUUGAAUAUCUGGUCAUGCCAUUUGCCUCACUAACGCCCCGGUGGUUUUUCAGGCCAUGGUUAAUGACGCGUUGAGGGAUUUUCUGAAUCGCUUUGUUUUUGUGUAUCUCGACGACAUCCUCAUUUUUUCUACAUCCCCCAAAGAGCAUGUAUUCCACGUCAGCCAGGUCCUCCAGCGCCUUUUGGAAAACAAACUUUGUUAAAGCGGAAAAACGCGACUUCCAUCAGCGUUCGGUCUCCUCCCUCGGGUUCAUCAUUGAGAGUGGGCAGGUGUCUGCGUGUCCAAGGCGGUUACUGACAGGCCCAAGCCCACUACUCUCAAACGAUUACAGCGUUUUCUGGGGUUUGUCAACUUUUAGAUUUUAGAUUCAAGAUUAGAUUAAACUUUAUUGUCAUUGCACAGAGUACAAGUACUGAGGCAACGAAAUGCAGUUUAGCAUCCAACCAGAAGUGCAAAAUAGCAAAAAGUGCAGAGUAUGUGCAUAUGUAAAGUGUAAUAAGUGAAUAAAUAGAUAUGUACAGUAAGAGAUAUGCAAUAUGAACAGUAAUUGGGACAAGAAUAGCAGCAAUUGAGGUAAGACGUGUAGGUAUGAUAAGUACAGUGUUCGUACAGUGAAGCGCUAUGAAUACUUUCCGGAUGCACUGUAUAUGUAAAGUGCAGGUGUAAGUAUUAGUGGUUGUAAUAAGUGAGAUGAAGUGAAAGAGGUAUUAGUAAUAUUAUAUUUAAGAGGUAUUGUAGGCAGUGCUGUAGUGGUAAAAUUAGAGGUGGGUAAACUCUGAAUUUUGUGAUCAUACAGACCUCGACGCGAUGCGAAGCAACGCAACACAAAGCGCCGCGACUCUAAAGCGGUCCUGGCUAUAUUGCAUUAUGUUAUCAGUAAAAGUCAUAUACAAUGAAUGACAAUGAAUAAAUGUGUUAGUAGUUUAUUAAAUUUAAGAAAACUAAUGAAAAGUAUGUCAAGACAAGACAAUUGCAGAUUAAGAACCAUCUACAUAUUGAGUCUCCUUUGUACAGUCGUGCCCAGAGGGCCUCCUUGUCCUCCACAUCAGGUCCUGCCUUGCAGGGGCGGGUUCUGGGGUUCAUGGCUCCUCUGUCCUUCUCCUCUCUCUAUUCGACCUGGUGUUUCUCCAAAUAUGUUGAAUUUAAGAGUUGUGGGGCUGAGAACACCAGUUAAGCAGCCCGUCAAUUACACUGACAACAUAAGUUAAAGGAACACUCAUGUACUACCUAUGUCAUCAUCAAUAGCCUAUACGGCAUGUUUUUUUUCACAUUGAGAACUGACUUAUUUUCUAAUCUAUGUUUACAGUGUAUUUCACUUACAGGCUACUCUACAACUUUCAUGACUUCAAAUAAUUGAUUAAGCAUAUAGGCCUAUUCAGUGAAGCAACAGCUUUGCUCCCCUCACGUUUUCUAUGUGAGAGCAGGACAUGCGGUCAUCAUGAAAGUAAAAAACUAAUAUAUUUGACCUUGACCGCGAAAAUGGACGAUUCUAUAGCUAAACUAAAACAAUUCACUUAGCUAUGUCUAACUGGCUUGCAAAUAAUCUGUCGACAAUUUUUCAAUGAAUUGGCCUAAUCUGCAGCAAUAUGCGUUAAUUACUGCGUUAAAAGGAUAAUUACUCAUUUUAUUAGACCUAUUUAGAUGGGACCGGGAAGGCUGGCUCAUCGUAUUUGAAAGCACGUUAUUAAUAGCGUUUGUCCCUGUCUUAAUGUGAUGUUGUGCAAACCAAAACAACGUUUAAAAACGUGAAUUGAUCUUCAAAGUCUUACUUUGUACUUGAGGCCUUAUGCGGGCAUCUGUGGGAGUGGGAGCACUCGAUGGUCUCUUCAAAUAUCGCCUGAUAUCCAUUGCUAAUUACCGACGGUAAUCCAUUCCGAAGAGCAGGCAGGCAGGCUAAUCCACAACGUGUAUGUGUUUACACACCUCCUGGAUCCUGAUUGGUGUCGCUGCUGCAGCCGCAAGGCACUGAAUGGAUGGUCAGACCAUAAUACAGCGCAGAUGAAAAGGAUUCAGACCACGCUGUUUAUAUGUUCAACAAUAGGAAACGUAGCCUUAGCUGUUUUAAAAUGACACCAAGUUUAUUUCGUAUUAUUCCAACGGAAGAAUACAAGGCGCAGGGAACUUUGGAGGUGCGUAAACGCCACUUAGGUGCGUAAACGCUAUUUCCAAAAUUCCAGAGGUGCGUAAACGGCGUUUACGUGCGUUUACCCUCCACUACAGCCCUGAUUGUAGGUAUAAGUACGAUUUAAUACAGUAAUAAGUGGUAGAAAAAAACAUUCUGGUGCAAAUGUUCAGUGGCUGGAGGAGGGUGUGUGGCAGUCAAGCCAGGGUGGAGGGGGGAAGUACAGUCACUAAGGGAGAUGUGUGGGGGUGGGGGGCAGAGUUCAGUAGAAUGACAGCCGCAGGGAUGAAGCUGUUCCUGAACCUGCUGGUCCGGGCUGGGGUGAGAGCUGUCCUUUUUCGAUGCUGCGUGCCCUCCGCAGAUAUCUCUUGCUCUGGAAAGCCUCAAUGGUGGGGAGUGAGGAACCGGUGAUGCGUUGGGCAGUUUUCACCACCCUCUGCAGUGAUUUACGGUCCACGACAGAGCAGCUGCCAUACCAUACUGAGAUGCAGUUCGUAAGGAUGCUCUCUAUGGUACAGCGGUAGAAAUUCUCUAGAAUCAGAGGAGACAGAUGGGCCUUUUUCAGUUUCCUCAGAAAAAAGAGAUGCUGGUGUGCUUUCUUUACCAGGGAUGAGGUGUUGAGAGUCCAAGAGAGGUCCUCAGAGAUGUUUUACUGCAGAUUUAUCAAAGACUUUAGUUGUGUGGUAGCCCCCCUUACUAAAUUAAAACUUACUGACCCAAAGUCCCUUUCCACUGAUCUUCAGAGUCCAAUCUGGCUAUGGAAAGCUUACAGGGACUAUUUUCCUUCCCAUCUGUGUUGAUCCAUCAUGAUACAUCUUGCAGUUUGUUGUAGAGGCCUCUGACUCUGGGGUGGGAGCCGUUCUUUCACAACGCUCUCCCUCAGACCAGAAACUUAUCCCUGUGCUUUUCUGUCUAAGAAAUUGUCACCAGCAGAACGGAACUACGACGUGGGCAAUCGGGAGUUGUUGGCGGUGAACCUGGCGCUGGAGGAAUGGCGGAACUGGCUAGAGGGAAUGGAACAACAGUUUGUGGUGUGGACUGACCAUAAAAACAUCCCGUCGACCAAAAGACUCAAUUCUCGUCUAGCUUUAACUUUACUUUGACCUACAGACCUCGCUCUCAGAAUGGUAAACCAGACGCCCUGUCUCGUCAGUUCAGACGCUGAGGAGUCCAACAAACCUGCAGUCUUGCCUCCCUCCUGUAUUGUUGGGAAAUCGAGUCGCUAGUAAGAGCGGCCCAAGUUUCGGACCCUGGACCUGGAGAGGAACCCCCGAAUCGGCUCUUUGUUCCCAAGUCUGUGCGCCCCCAAAUUUUGCAGUGUGUCCACACCUCAUGUUUUGCCUGUCACCCUGGGAUGCAGCAAACUCUAAUAUUACUAAAGAGACACUUCUGGUGGCCUUCGGUGGAAGCGGACGUCCAUGCCUAUGUGGCAACCUGCUUUUGUGCUCAGGGUAAAGCCACCCACCAAUCGCCCUCUGGACUUCUGCAACCCCUUCCAGUCCCUAGUCGCCCCUGGUCCCACGUGGCGUUGGACUUCGUCACCGGCCUACCUAUGUCUGAAGGUAAUGAUACUAUACUUACCAUUGUGGACAGAUUAUCUAAAUCUGUUCACUAUAUAGCAUUACCUAAAUUAGCUACGGCUAGUGAGACAGCAGACCUCUUAGUCAAACAUGUAUUCCGUCCCCAUGGAAUACCUGUGGAUAUUUUUUCCGAUAGAGGCCCACAAUAUAUUUCACGUGUUUGGGAGACAUUCUGUUCUGCCCUUGGUUCCUCUGUCAGUCUGUCUUCAGGUUUUCAUCCCCAUCUAAUGGUCAGACGGAGAGGGGCAUUCAGGACCUGGAAGCAUCCUUCCGUUGUGUGGCCGCUCAGCAUCCCCCCUCUGGGCCAAAUACCUGCCUUGGAAUGAGUACGCUCAUAACUCGCUGACCACCUCCGCUACUGGCCUCUCGCCCUUUGAGGUAGCUCUAGGAUAUCAACCCCCAUUGUUUCCGCGUCCAGUUGCCAACUCGGGAUGAAUGAGAAUCGGGCCAAAUACACUGUCCCAUUUUUUUUGUAGUGCAUGGUUUGGGCUGAUGCGGGCCCAGUGUCGUACGAUUUGGGCCAGUGUAUUCGGCCUGAUUCUGGGGCGUCAUUCAUCCAAAUUCUCAGACGAGUCGGCAAACUGACUCCCGAGCUCAAGCCGGAUCUGGGCCAAGUCAUUUUGGCUACCUGGGUAAUAACCAUGAGAAGCUGGUUGUGAUACUGAUCCCCAAUGAUUUAAAACAGUUGUAUUGUUCUACCUCAGCUCCACUGAUGAAAAACAAGGGUGUUUGUCUUUAGCUGUUUAGUUUAACAGAGCAGUAGUUUGUCCCGGGACAGUCACAUCACCUCCGUUGGAAUUUGAGAAGGUCUGUCUGACUGAGAGGUCGGAAAGAUUUUGUGGUAAUCAUUUCGAGAUCUGCUCCUGUUAACAUAAAUGUAGCAAAUGCUGUUUUGGCUCAGUGGCGUGUCUAAAUGCACAAUCAUGCACUGCAAUAUGAAAAAAAAAAACAUAAUGACAUUUUUUCUUCGAUGUAGUUAUCUGAAAUCCGUCCCAAAAAAUAGAUAUAGACUACCUAUUUUCACUCAGGGAAAAACACCAAAUGAGAAUUUUUCAAUAUGAUAGAGCACCAUAUUAUUACAUGAUGUCUUCUAUUUUGGAAAUCCACUAUAACUGAAAACAUUUUUUGCAAGUUCACUAUCACUGUGUAAUCUGUGUAAAAAAAAGAUAGAUAGAUAGAUUUUACAGUGAAACAACCUCAGACGACCUUAAGGGCCAAAAUGUUUGUUGAAUAGUCAGAAAUAAAAUAUAAAUCUUCAUAUUGACGAAGUUAGAGAAAUACAUGCAGCUUCAAAGAAAUUGAUUUGCAAAGCAUGUCUACUCUGGACCAAUGAAAAGGGCAUUGGAUGUGAUCGAUCGAUAAUAUAUGUUGAACCAAAUUCAAAUACAAAUGCAACACCAAUUACAUUCUGACAUACUGAGCAUAGAUGCGCGAAAAAACGAAUUCCGCUCCACCGAUUUACUACACUUCUCCCUUUGGCAGUGUUAGAAUGUGAUAAUGAGCAAACACCAAUUAAUUGACAGCCACACCUUGAGCUUGAUAAUUGGAAAUUUGAUAGCUUCUAACACUUUUGUUGGAAAUUUCAUAAGGCUGUUUGUAAAAGACUUCUGAGAGUGCUUUUAUUUUGAGGGUAGGAAAACUAAAAGACUUUAAAGGACGGGAAAAUAUAUUUAAAAAAAACAGAAAAGGGUUACGGUUUUAUUGGUUUAGCACCUGGUUGAUAUGGGCACAAGUUUGUUAAAUAUUGUUUUAGGUAAUUAUGUUCUGUCUAAGAUGCUAAUCGGUGUUCAUAUGUAUUUUUCCUUAGUUCUUAUGGACGAUUAGUUUGAGACUCCAGACCAUUAUAUAGCCAGGGAUGCUACACUGUUUAAACACUGCAUCUGAAUUGUUCACCAUAAAGUGAGAGACAUAAAACCGGUGGACAUUCUUUAGUUUUCCUUUCAUAACUCUCAAUGUGGCUCAUAUGGGUUGUCAACAUUUAAUCAAAUAAACCUCCACUGUCUUGAUUUACAGGGAGACUUUAUUUAGGAGAGGUCUAGGUUAUGAUAAAAUAUGUAUCCUCUUUUUUUCCCUAUUCCAUCUUUGCACUGAAACCACAUUGUUUCUAACAGAUAAAUUCAACGGUGUAUCGUCUGCAUAACAAGUUUAGGCAGCAUUUUAAUGAGGAGAGACGUCUUUGAAUUUAGAGAACAGGUAAGCCAUACUCCCCUUGGACUCUAGACAUAGGUGGUGACAGCACUAAUGCAAUUGAUUAACGCAAACAGUGCCUACGUGUGGCUGGCUAGUUCAAAACAAAUCCCCCCCAAUGAGCUGACCAUAGGUAAAAAAGGUGGCAAGCUUCAUAUAUAAGGUAAAUAAAAUCGGCCUGAGAGGCUUGAGUUUGAGGUUUCUUUAAUACCAAUCAAAUAUACUAGUCUCUGUAACAGGAUCCGUUGUUCCAUGGUACAAAUUGGGCACUGAGGUCCAACAACACAAGAAAAGAGACAAGUCUUUUGUCCGAUGCAAGUAAAAGCUUAUUCGUAAUUUUCAUGAGUGCUGUUUCUGUGCUAUGAUGCAAUCAAAAUCCUUACUGAAAAUCCUCAAACUUAAAUCAAAACUUCAGUUCUCUGCUGAAUGUUGGUAGAAUACAUAAAAUAGCCUACCUUCGAUAUAAGGAGUUAUUUUUUAAAUAAUAUUUCAUCUCCACAAUGCAGAGUAAUAUUUUAUAAAUAUAAUUGACUGCCAAAACAAUUCUAUACUAAUAUAAAAGAAAGGAAUUAAUUAUAUUAUAUUGCGAGCACUGGUCGUGCUAGUCUCGUCUCUAUCCUCCUUUGAUACCUCCCUUACAAACACUCAUUGACUUCUACUGUGCAUGCACUAGCUGCUCACUUUUGCGCUCUCUAAACCCCCUUUCAUCUGGUUUCUCUGUAUCUGGCUGCACAAUUAUAAUCAAUCACUCAGUCUCCCACAUGUCCACACAGAUCAAUACAUAAAUCUAGACAAGAUCAAAUCGAAUACACAAACCCCCCUCAAUGUGAACACACAUCCCUGCUGUAACCCAAUGCAGGGCGGCUCUGAAUAGGACCAGGGUUUUAUUCUCAAUCACUACGGCAAGCCUGGCACAUCUUCUAUCCCUUCUGUCACUGAGGCUGAUGUCCUGGGUCAGGGCCAGCAUAAACCUUCCCCUUGCCUCCUGUUUUCUAUUGGUCCUCUCACUAUUUUUUUUCACUCCCACUUGUCUUCCUUUGCUGUGUCUCCGUUUUUUAACUGUCUCCUUGUCCAUCUUGCAGUCAGGGAGCCUGACUAAAAAAAAUAAAAGUAUUUUAUUUCAUGACAGGUAUAUACAGGACACUAUAUGUGGUUUGUGUGUGAGUAUGUCUACGUGUUAGUGUAGAAAGUAAAGGAAAGAAGGGACAUAAAGGAGUAGUUAUUUCCCAGGUGGUAAACAGAAGUGGAUUGUGGGGAAGAAUAGAGCAGGUUUUAUUUAGAUCCAAACCAGAGGCUUGAUUCUUUAGUCUUUCUGACUAACGAUAUCCUGUUGUCAUGGGAACACACUUAGCUGGUAAUUCCAUAUAUUACUUCAUACUCCAUGAGUACAACAAAACUGUCACACAGAGAAGUGAAAGGAAAGAACGUGGAAGUUGAGCAUAGCGUCAGUGUGCUGCCCAGCCUUCCCAGCACAGCAGGGCACAUUACAGUUUUAUGCACAGCACUCCUCAGGACAAGAAACCAGUGGCAAGCAGGACAGCACAGCACACGACAGGGAACUGAAGCUCAAAACAGCUGGGCAUGGAGCACUUUCUAAAUGCAAAACACAUCAGCAGAGACAGUUUCUAAAGCCUUUUAAAUUGAAAAAGAAAUGGCAUCCCCAUCCCGCGGUUAUUGUAAUGUUUUCUUUGGAGCUGUUUUGUUAUGCUCUAAGAUUUAGGUUGGUCCUUCACUUCAGGGCCCCGAUCAAAUGUCCUAUUAGCCAGCUCAAAUUAACUCAUUUUAUCACCAAAGGAAUAUUAUUUGCUCUUUUCUGUCCCGAUUAUAUCAGCUGAGGAAAUGAAGGGUCCCUGGGUGGAAGCCAGCUCAGCCAAACACUAAGGGAAGGUGCAGAGAAAGGAGAAUAAGGGUAGAUGAGAGGGACAACAAAUGGCUAAAGGGGAGAAGGGAGGAAUAUGAGGGACAUGGGAGUUGAGAAUCUCAAGCGAUCAGAUGGCGUGAAGGGUAGCGCUGUGAUUCAUCAACAACUGAGAAAGGCUUCGUCGGUGGACCUUUAUAGAAGCACAGUGUCAGGGAUGGGUGGAGGAAGGCAGGACUCAAACGCAGAGUUUCCAGGAAACAAAAAGGACUUUAAUAGUCAAAACUCCAAAGUAAAAGGCCAACGGGCAAAAACACACACAUGAACCGGGGGAAAAAAGGCAGGCAGGCAGGAACGAGGAACAUCCAGGACAAAAGACAAUGACGCGACCAAUGACAGGAGACACACACACCGCUUAAAUACACUAGGGAGGUGCAGGUGAUUGGACACAGGUGGAAACCAUCAGACAAUCACAGGGGAUGACAGGACCAGGGAGGAAGUGAAGUUACCCAGGGUGACACGAAGCAGAAACUACAAAAUAAGACAGGAAAUAACCCACACCGUGACAUGUUCACUUCUGCAUCUAUCCACCAAGUAUCGGAUCCGCACAGACAAUUUGUGGUGGAGGUGAUUGCCUCCGACAUAGGGGUUGGAGGUGUUCUGUCCCAGCGCUUGGCCACUGAGCAAAAGCUCUACCCCUGUGUCUUUUUCUCACGUCGGCUUUCCCCCACCGAAAGAAAUUAGGACAUUGGUAACUGAGAACUGCUAGAAGUAAAGCUGGCACUGGAGGAGUGGUGACAUUGGUUGGAGCUCCCAUUUCUGGUUCUGGUUCUCAUCUUUUCCCUGUGACUUUUUAAUCUGUUUGCUUGCAUUGAGGAAAACAGUCUUCCUAUUUCUUUGGGAAAAAGCAACAUGUUACUUUUUCUGUCUGUUAAAGGAGAUCUUGGUCAAUGGCACACAUUUGAGGGUCAAAGCUAGAAUACUAUCACCGGUGUUUUGUUUUUUGCAAAAGGAUUUAAGAUGCCCUCACCCGGUGAGGAAGCCGAAAGCUCAUGGCACGGACACAUCUGACUGAUCCACCAUUUGCAGUCUUGUCUGAAAAUUAUGAAAUAAUUAAGAACGACAUCCUCCUCACCAUUCUAAAUCCUCUUUUCCUCCUAUUGGAAACUAAAUUGUCUUUCCCUUUACUUAUUUCAUGUCCAUCCUUCUCCUUGGUUGGUUCAUUCUUAUCCUAACACCUUGUUUCUUUUCAGUUUCACAGCUUUGGUUCCUGCAUACUUUAUUCUUAUGGCAAUCUGUUCUCAUCCUUUUUCCAUUUUAUUCCAAGUCUAUGUGCAAUCAUCCCUUUUUUACAUCUUAUGUCACAGAGUGGAUGAUAACAGAUGAUUUAUGUCUGAAACCAUCUCUACCUUAUUGGUCCCCAUUGAUUUUCAGCUUAGGGAAAUGUCACUAUAUCUGUGAUAGUAAUCAAAUCAUACAUCACAGGGUGCUGAAAUGUCCUUUUCAGGGAUAUGACAGAUCUACAGUGCCCCGCACUGCAUCUAUUUCUUUCGCUCCCAUUUUUGGAAGGUUCUUGGAAUAAAUUUGCACCAUCACAUCCUUCCUCCAAAUACAAGAUGGUGUUUAUUACAUAUACAGUAUUAAGGUCUCUAUUUGACUAUGCAAAACUGAGGGCUUUGUUAGGAUCACUAUAUAUAAUCUGAGUUUAUGGGUCAGGUGCUCACUGGAAGGGGCAAAAAAAAAAGAAAAACUCUUGAAGUGAUUUAAUCAGCGAUUUUUGUAAUCUCUGUCUCUCUCACACACAAGCUGCAUGUUUAGAUGAGCAAAGCCUUGCACUGUCAUUUAUCUUCGACAAGGUGAUAAUUAAAGUCACGGCCAUGGCUCUGCUUGCAUCUGUUGUGUGGUGUGUGUGUUCAUCAUGUGUGGCACUGUGAGACGAGUGUGUCAUACAUCUGUUGUGUGGACUGCAGACACUAGCAAUAUACUGUUGAGAGGAUAGCAUGAUAUGCAAAAUUGAUAAUGUUGUUAGAUGACCUUUUAAGGACAAAGAACUAAGGGUUUAGGAUAGAAAAGAGGACACAUAAAUCCCAAUUGCCUAUGUUUUAACCUUGCAAGUAAGAACAAAAUCAAUGAUAUAAUGAGUCAUAUUAUAAAGAUGCUCUGUAGUUUUACCUUGCUAUUAUAAGAGGUAUAAACUCUAAACCAAAUCCCAAAAAUCUCCUUGCAGUUUAUUGCAUGACAUAAGUAUUUGAUCACCUACCAACCAGUAAGAAUUCCGGCUCUCACAGUCUCAAAGAAAAUCAUUAGUAACACACUACGCCGUCAUGGAUUAAAAUCCUGCAGUGCACGCAAGGUCCCCCUGCUCAAGCCAGCGCAUGUCCAGGCCGAUCUGUAGUUUGCCACGCUUUUCAUCCAAAGCGACUUCAUUACAUUUUUGCCCAGGGAGCAAUUAAGGGUUAGGCAUCUUGCUCAGGGACACUUUGACAUGGGGCAGCCGGGACUCCAACCACCAACCAAGCGGUUGCCAGCGGACCCGCUCUACCCCUGUGCCAUGAUGACCUGUAGACCUGGUCUACCUGUAGACCAGGGGUCUCAAACUCGUGCCAGACCAUUACGGUCGGCGGUCCGACCAGUGAACGGAACGGUCAACGGGGGGCGCUGACGUUGCGAUCCCUGCUGUAGACUGACUUUUCAGCGGAGUGGCGACCCGUUAGUUGGGUUUUCUAAGCAACUCAGGAUCUCUUUACUCGUAGUCCGGUGGAGCGGAGUCACCCGCUAGUGCUGUGGUUACUGGUACAGCGGGACCGGGAUCCUGAGUUUCAUAUACUUCUCAGGGUUUCGCAAGGGGAUUUUUACGAGAAGUGUUUUUUUUCGCCUUACGAGAAGGAAAACACCGCCCGUCAGUGUAAAACAAAAUAAGGGGAUCUAACUAGAAUAGCAUGAAAUUGGGAACUUGCAUUACAAUCACUUUAAAAAAUUACCAUUUUCAAGUGGCAUUCCACUCACUCUCGUAAAUAUGUUUCAGAGUUUUACCCAACGUUGUGAAUAGACUAAACUACUUGGUUCUGUUUCAGAAAAGUACUUGUUUUUCACAAAAACUACAGAGUCAAUUAUAAAAAGGUGGGUAACCAGUGGGUGAAGGUCCUGUGCUAUUUGACCCAUCCAGUACCGCCCAACCCCCCCCCCCUAAUCAGAGUCAUCACCCAUUAUACUUUACACCAGUCUUUCUUACAGAAAUACUUAUAGUUUGAUUUAUUAGAUUUUUUUUAGGAUUAUUUUAAACUGAGAUUUGCAUUACUGGCAGAAUAAUAGACUAAUUUCAAGACCUCUCACUGGUUAUGAUAUGUAAACACAGGAAACUUUUUAGGUAACGAACAUAUCAAUGUUGUCAUACAACAUUCUUUUAACCAGUGUAAAUAUAGAAGCAUUAUGAAGGUACAGAUGUCAUGGUAAACGUGCUUUUCAUCUUGCUUUACUGGGAUUCAUAAAAUCUUCCUGAUACAAGUUAAAAACAGUCAAUAAUACUGUGGAUAUGUUAAAACAAGAGGUCUGGACGAGCCCCCCAGAGACACAGCACCAAAGAUAAAUACAUGCGUACAACGCAGCCACCCUGCCGUCUGUAUAUAAUUGCAGUCCAUUAAGACGAUCACGUGGGCAGAAAAACGUGCCCAGCGAUUCAGGGGUAUCCAGUGGAUGGUUAAUGACCCGUGUGUCUGACACAUGGAACACCUCACUAAUCACUCGAUGGGCUGAGACGGAAGCGAUGACUGCAUGCUCCUGUACGGGCACUACCCUUUGUGUGUGUAUGUGUGUGUGCAUGUAAAAAUGUCACUGCAAGCAAAAAAAGAGAAAGGCCAAUCAAGAUCAUUUUCACGUUUGUGUUUUGUCACAUCAAAAAAAAAAAUUUCAGCAUUUUUCCUUGAGGAAAAAGCAUGAACCCUGAAAGGCAGAAUAUUCAUACCGUAACAAAAAAAACUAAUUUUAUAUAUAUAUAUAUAUAUGUGUAUGUAUAUAUGUGUAUGUAUAUAUAUAUAUGGAUAGAUUUCUUACGCCGAAGUAUAGAACGUCCGCAUGGCGGCCAUAUUGGUACGGUCAGCUCGCUCACCCGUAACAUUGUUUUGGUAGUGGUACGAUUUUUAAACGGUUUGCUUUGUUAUAAACGUCAGACUUUUUUAGAACAAUUAUUUAUAAUGUCAUAACUACAUCUCUCCACCCUGUACAGAGAUGUAUGCAUGACACUAAAAUGGACUCUUAAUUUAUUUCUUCUUCACAACAUUAAUGUGACUGCUCACUGAAAUGAGUUCAUAGCUAUUGUUAUCAAAACCUGAACUAUAUAUCUAUUUUUAGAUCUUUACAAUUAAAAGUUUCCUCACUUUGUUCUUGAGCAAGCCCAGAAUGUGUUUUUUUGUGUGUGAGUCAACAUGUUAGUUGUGGCUUCUUUGCAGUUUGACAAACCCGAUCGGAAUCAUGGAAUACUGAAUAAUCAGUGAUGUAAUUAGCUAAUGGUAACGUUUUGUAAAAUUGGAUAUUUGGCUGGUCAACAGUCAAGUUUUAUAUUACGAUCAUGUAGUACAUUUUAUUUGAAAUGCAUUUGAUAUGGUCCCCCAGUAUUGUCUUAAAGGUUGAAAGUCCAUUCUAAAUGUUUCAUCUGUAUGUUUUUUUAAAACAUUGACUCCCCUGUGACGUUUGGAGUAUUCCAGCAUUUCACUUCUCUAAUACAUUUAUCUCAUCUUUUAUAGUUUACUCCAGGGGUCUCAAACUCGCGGCCCGCGGGCCAAUUGCGGCCCUCGGGACGAUAUUUUGUGGCCCCAUCCUUAAUAUGAAAGUGUAAUGUUAGUGCGGCCCGCAAGUUUUAUACUGUAACCCCACUGUCAGCUGCUGUGUGGGACAUGUUAUGAUGUUCUGGUUUCCUACUCUGUGCUUGUCCAGUGAACGUGGCAUGCAUGUGACUGACAUGGGGGGCGGGUCGUGUGUGUCGGCCGAGGUGGAGAGAGCAGGAGGGUGAAAUUCAGUUUCCUGCCCUCUUUCGCGCAGGUGAUCAUGUGACUAACCGUUAGCAUCGCUCGUUUAAUAAAGUUUUCCUUUACGACUCACACUAACAACACAUGAAGCAUCUGACGUCACCGACGAGCGUCUCCGUCCAUUACUACGCAGCUUCGAUUCACGUAACUUCACGUUUGGCUAUAAAGGAAUUCCACGGUCACAUGACCUUAGGUCUCCCCCCCUGAGUUAAAGGAGGACUAGUGUUGUAUUCUCAUUCGGACCGAUCCCCCAGGGUGGGGUUCAAUGACUGCUUUCGAAAGUGAGUGUUAAGUUGUGUUAUUGUCGACCAUGCCGUUCGGACGCUAGUCUGGCCCGCGUUCGGUUGAAGUGGGCUGCAUCUGGCCCGCAGCUGAUUUGAGUUUGAGACCCCUGGUUUACUCAGUGUUACAUGCCAGACGGGGACGGUCUGCAUGUGUUCUUGUCGUUCUCCCUCCUGCUCAUUGGUUUCUCUCCCCCAGUGAUUAUGCUGAUUGCUUUCCACCUGUGUUUGGAUUUGGCCAAUCAGCAGUUCCGGUGGCAGUCCAUAAAGGAAGACUCCUGAGAAGUGAAAUGGGGUGUGUUCUGCGCUGCGGGCUGGUGGCCAGUCUCCCUGUACGUGAGCUUUAGCUGGCUGCUAGCAAAACUGGAGUUUUGUAAGGUGGAGGUUGAGGACCUUAGUAAGUUGGGGUACCCUGUACAUUUUUGCACGUAGGUAUACCUUUGUAUAGACACACCAGGUGUAGUGGUUGUGGCCUCCUGUGUAACGUUUUCCUUUAGUCCUUUUUUAGAGAAGCAGGUAAGGUAUUUUGUUUGACUUGUUUUGGAUGAAGAGCCAGUGGUGAGCUAGGCCUCGUUUUGUUAUAUUCAUUUCAUUUGUUUGGCACAACCUGUAGGUCCCAUCUUCCACCAUCUCCCUCCCUCCUGUUGGGAGCCAUCUUUUUGUGUAAGAAUAAAAACUAGAAAGACACCUUUUACCCUGACUCUGUCGCCUGUCUUUGAUUGUUGUUUUACUGUCCUGGAAUCUACAAAAGGGCCGUAACACUCCGCAUCAGUAAGGCUCUAAAGACAACCUCUUUAUGAUAGUAAGUAAUAGGCUGUAUGCUCAAUACAGGCACAAUCUGAUCUUUUUUAGUGGGAUGUGUGAUAAUUCUCCUGCUCUCCUUUGUAGGAUUAUGCAUGUGGAAGUGUAAGUAAUGCGGUUAGGAUCUGGAGGUUGACAAUGCAUUUUUCGGAAUCUUCUUAAUUAAUUUCCUGAUCAGAUGGUUUAUUAUUUUGUAUUUGUUGUAUUGGAUGGUCAUUUCUAACUUCUCUGAGCAUUUGCAAUAAAAACGCCCGAACUACGUUAUGUCUCAUGUGUCUUAAAUCAUCAAAAUGAGUUGUACCAAUUUAAAUCAUAUUGCAUAGAUGUUAUUAGAUUGAGUUAAAUCCUGUACACAAAUGAAUUGAGUUUUUCCAAUGACUUAUUUUUUUUGAGUGUGGAGAGGUAUGUACAAACUGGCCACACUUAUGUGAAAGCAGACUGUCGCGGAAACUUAAAAUGGCAAACUGCGCUAUGUCAUGCAUAUGCAUUCAAGGGAGGAUCGAGGGGACGGUGGGGGGUUAAGCAGCCAUGCAAUAUUAUAUGCAUGGGGGAGCAUGGAGUAAAGAGGGUUUGCCGGGAACCACAAGGUUGGCGGUUCGAAGCCCGGCUGCACCAUCUCCCAUGUCGAAAGUGUCCCUGAACAAGACACCUAACCCCUAAUUGCUCCCUGGGGCAAAAUGUAAAAACCAUGGGUAGAAAUGCAAUGUAAGUCGCUUUGGAUAAAAGCGUCAGCUAAAUGACCUGUAAUGUAAUUAGUUACUGAAAGAAAUCAAAGAGGACAUAGUGUUCACAUUCAAUUCCAGCAGUUCAACUUUUAUUGUUGUUGUUUAACAUUUUGAUAUUGGCUGAUCCAUGAUUGAAAAAAAGGUAAUCUUCCCACAAAUCUGCUUAUAAUGCAAAGAUGGAUGUGUUUAAAAAAAAAAAAAAAAACACUUUCUAAUUUUUAAAGACACACGUGCAGUUGUGGGAUAUAAAAAAAUGGGAUCUCUAGAUCACAGAAACAAUGCUGUGAGUAUUCGUCUGACCAGGGCCGCUGCAGGAUACAGACUAAGCCGCUGUGAGAUGGAACCGAACAUCCCCUUAUUCCCCAAUGCAACCUAUAGUCAUUUCCUUCUCUUCCCUUCAUAACAUUCCCAAUGCAAUUACAGAGCAACAUAAGAUCAAUUUAGCUGUAGAAUGGAGUUUAUGUUUCCAGUGUCUGGGGCCCCUCAGUAUUUGGAGCUACACCUUCCAAUAUGUUCCUCUCUGCCUAGAGAUAAUUCAAUCAUUCUCACUUUCAGUUACUCUCAGGGCAAAGGAGCGGACGCCGCCAGGUCCCCUUUGAUUCGAGUAACUCGAUAGAAGUGCGAUUGUGUUUCUUUUGCUGCAGCACACAAACACACACACACACACAAGCUCUGGCUCACUGACAAAGAGAUUGCAAUUAUUUUACUUUACCAAUUGAUCUUUUCUCCCUUGGGGGACUGCCUCACCAAGGCCGUGCACCAACUGUUACCACUAACUUUCUCAAGGGAAUUACCAACAAGUUAGGACCUUUUCCACCAAUGACCGCAUUGCUUCGUAUCUCAUAAAAUUCACUCCCUUCUGUAUUUUUCUGUCUCACCCUCCAUGGCACCUAAGUGCAAAUCAAGUAUCAUCAAUAUGUCAACCGUAAAACAUAGAGUGCACUGCCAAGAGCAGUUCCUCUAAUGUUCAACAUUAAAUAAGGGGAAGCGGUUAGCUGCAAGCCAAGCGGCAGAGGGAAUUAUAUACAUUUAAACGGAGGUUUGGCAUUGGUUUUCAUUAGCAGCUGUUUCUAGUGUGACAGGCUGCCUUUAAGGCCAGAGAUCUGGGCAAACAAUAGAAAAAUACAUAUCAUAACGGGUUGCCAUGGAUUCCUUUGUUCUUUGUGAGGAAACCAUGGCCUAUUGUCCGAUUCUGAGACAUGCUUUGACAGCUUUGGUCUUGGAAGCAAACCAGAGGUCUCCCACUUUGUUUGCUGAGGGGUCAGAGAUGCAAAACUGCAAUCCAAACGGGGGUGUUCUUUAGCAAAGUGUUUUUUCCAGAUAGUCCUGCAGGGCAUUGUUCAAACUGUCAAUAGUUGAUCCCAUAUUCCAGGUUUCUCCUCCCACUCAUUUCUCCCUCCUCUCUCCCUUUGCCUAACUUUGCUCACCUAGUUUUAUGAGUACGCAUGGGCAUAGUCAUUUAUCAGGCAGGCAGAUAGUAGGAUGAUGUGGGACGUGUGGAGGAAACUCGUGAUGGAUUAAGAGCCAGAGAUCGGUCUCUGCUUCAAAGAGAACAUUUCAAGAAUUAAGACGAGCGAGAUAAUUUUACUACAUCUACUACUUCCAAAAAUUAAUACUAGACUCUUCAGAUAUAGUGGGAAUGCAGGUACCGGUGUAAAGAGGAAGUACAUUGGUUGCUUAGAGAGUGUGGGUGCUAUUGUAGUCUAACAAUAGUGUUGGACCAUUAAGAUCUCCCUAAAAGUUUAAUUUUCUCACUUAGUGACAUGAAUUGCUUUUCCACACAUAAAAGAUUACUAUAUUAUGGGUUAAUAGAUGAUGUCAGCAAAAAGUCUCUUGUACUGUGUUCACACCAAAGGCGAAGCAAAUUAUUUGCACAGACUGACUGUUCAGAGGAAGCAAAUUUUCAACGGGCGGCAUGGGGGCUGCGAAAAAGCGAAAAGGAGCAGAGCGAAUAAAUUGUGCCUCCACUUUGCGGUAAAAAUGAUCCGCCUCUUAAAAGCAGGUGUAAACCAGAAUGAGAGUCUCCUCACAUGCCUCCUGGUGAAAUGACAGCAGUAAUUCGAGCAAGACGGCAACACAGGCCAAGGAGACGAGCCGAUAGGAUUCACACUUUUUUUCAGUUGAGUGAAGAAAUAAUCAUUACACGUUACAGAUGCAAAUGUACGUACAUGAGACCCUGAGACCCUCUCGCCUUUUUUCCGAGAAACCAAAAAUCCAACCUCAGAAUCUUGAAAUGUGCAGCUGUUUGUCCAGCUUUACCCUUCGGUCAUAUAUAUUGCACCUGUCAAGGAGUAACAUAAAGCAAGUGGUUAAUUACAAAGAUCAAAACAGGGUUUAAAACAACCUGUUGUUGCUUUUGUGUACUGUUCCUAUACUGCAGUAGCUUUAUUGACAGGAACGCACUCAAAGCCAAUGGGACUUUUUCUAUGUAAAAUCAAUGGAAAGAUACCUGCCUGUUCUAUUACCACAUAUGCAGACAAAAGGUGUUAUGAAAUCCACUCGUGGUGUUGACUUUGAAGGCAACAUCCUAGAAAAACAUGAGCCCGUCAGCCCGUCAAACAUCGAUGUGUUUUGUCACAGUAGUGAUUCAAAAAUACUGGGUCGAAGAAGAUUUUAUCCGAAUAGCCGAAUUCUGAUCUAAAGAAGAGAGCACAGAGGUUUGUAUAAUCUACUCAUAGCAGAUAAUCUAAUAUGAAACCCUAAUUUAACACGUGCAAAUGUUUUAAGUUAAGUAACCAAUGCAUAACAUGAAGCCGGGAUUCAUAUCUCUUUGAAACGGCUGGUUUAUCUGUUCAAGAUCUUAUUGCAAUGUGUGGUAACAAGAUCCUUCAUUUACAAACAAAUUCUCCCUUCACAUAUUUCUAGAUAAGAUUGUUAAUGUUGUGCCAUUUCUUCUAACUAUUAGUAUCAUGUUUGAAGUACCUUCAGUCGUCUGAAACAGACAAUGUUGUGUGUGUGUGUGAGCACAUCAUCUACUAAAUAAUCCAAUAUUCUUUUUUGUGAUGUCUUUAAAAGCAGGAGAUCCAUUGUGUCUUCAGAAAACAAUCAGUAUAUACACAUAACAGUGCAUACAUUUGCACAGAAUAAUUAAAUUUGUAAAGACCUUUUAGGUCGUUAGGCUAAUUUUUUCCUCUUUAGAUCCUGUCUCAUCUUCGUUAUUUGAAAUGGAAUUUGAGGCUCAGGUUUGUUGCUAUGUUGCUUCAAAGAGAUGCAUGUGUCUAGGAAUAGACAACAAAGCCUUCCUCAUAGGCUAGAUAAAAUCACAGCACAAGGAAUACUUUCUGAAGUGGAAAGAGAUAUUCCGGUGUUUGAAAUCUAGCACCGUGCAGGCUGGUUACAGCUCAGUACUUGAACACAGGCUGGAAGACAGCAGCCAAAGGAAAAUUAUGGGUUUUAAUUUUAAUUUAAAAAUGU